AUGAAUUAAAAGCACUAUAAUUUAUGUGUAGUAAAACGGUCUGUAGUCCAAAUCAAAUAUAGAUGAAGAACAAAUAUUUUUUUUUUUCGACAAAAACCUGAAAAAUUCUAUAGCACUGUAACAAUAACUCUGGAGAUAAUUUUUGUAUAUUUAGAGAGCAAGAGAGAGUAUAUUUUUCGUUUAUCAAUAAAAUAAAACAAAUAAAUGAAAGAGCUAAUUACUUUACAAAGAACAUGAGCAAAGAGCUAGAGAAUUAGUAAAACAAGAGUAGGUUAAAGCAAAUGAGAGAGAGAAUAUAACUCGCUACACGCAGAGAAAAACAAGAAACUCGUUUUUAGUUCGGUUAUUUUUAUUUUUCAAGUUUAUAGUGGUGGAAAUAUGUACUAUGUAUGUAUAUAAUAACGACAUUGCUGGUACAUAUGUUUUUGUGAUUUUUUCGAUGUUCCGUUGAGUAAAUGUACGUUUAAAAUUUUUAGUCUUUAGCUGCUAUGCCAGCAGCUCUCUACAAAAAAUCAACGAUAAAAAGCUGGGUCUGUGAACGAUGAUGAACGAAUAUAAAAACGGCGUGGUCGCCAUUUAUUUUAUAUUUUUUUAUUGUUGUUGUAUUCGUUCCAUACGUAAGACAAAAAAAAAUAACACAAAAAAGAAGAAGCAGCACUAGUAGAAACAUACAGAAGAAGAACCAACAAGAAAAAAAAAACAAUAAAACAGCCGUAUAAUAAACAUAAUAUACAUGUACAUUUUUUGUUUGUACAUACAUAUAUUGAAAUUCUUUUGUUUUGGUCUCAUUCCCCUGCUACUCCUCCUGGUCAUUUUCUUGUACAUAUCGCUUUUACUCAAAUACUGUGCAAUAUUAUUAUUAUGAUGAUGAUGAUAUAGAAAACGCAUUUCGAGGGUUUUAUAAGUAAUUUUCGCUUUUUUCUAGUGUAAUAAUAAUGUAUAUAUAUUGAAAAACAGAGGAUGAUGAAUAAGAGGAAGAGGAGCUCUAGGUUUAUGGUGCUGACAACGGAGUGAGGUGAGCAGUGGUGGAGUAAGCAAAGAAAUUGUUGUAUAAAAUAACAACAACAAAACGACAUAAAGAGAUUUUGUUCAAAUAGUCAAAUGAAGAAAAAAUAAUAUUUUAGCGGAGCGCACUUACGACACACAACUGGCAACGAACGACAACGAACACAACGUCGUCGCAAGUGCUACAGCCAUUUUGUACUUUGCAUUCACAUGAAGAAAUUGUAUGGCGAUUAACUGAAUCUAAGGUUUUCAGCAAAUCAGCCAAGGCACAGGGUUGUAACAAAACGUACUAUGCUGAAUUACUAACUAAUCAAACAAGAAAAAAAAGUAAGUAGUACUUAAUAACACAAAAUAAUGUAAUGUAAUAAUUAUGCCAUCAAAAACAACCCCCAAAUAUUUAAUAUAAAAUACAAAGAAUAUUUAUUUCUAGUAGAAUUUUAUGGUUUUUUUAUAAUUAAAUUUAAGUCAAUAAUAAAAAAAAAUCACUAUAAAUCUCUAUAAUUUAUGUCUAAAAAAAAUAUAAAUCAAAAUACUUUAGUGUAAUUAAUAGCAUUAAAAAAACCCACCGUACUUAUCAAUCAAUCAAUAAUAUUUUACAAUAUUAUACCACAGAUAUGUAUUAACUGAUUUUAAAUAAAUAUUUCUUUAUACAACCGCACAAAA